AUUGAACGCUGGCGGCAUGCCUUACACAUGCAAGUCGAACGGCAGCGGGGACUUCGGUCCGCCGGCGAGUGGCGAACGGGUGAGUAAUGUAUCGGAACGUACCAUUGAGUGGGGGAUAACUAUCCGAAAGGAUAGCUAAUACCGCAUAUUCUCUCCGGAGGAAAGCAGGGGACCGCAAGGCCUUGCGCUCAUUGAGCGGCCGAUAUCAGAUUAGCUAGUUGGUGAGGUAAAGGCUCACCAAGGCGACGAUCUGUAGCGGGUCUGAGAGGAUGAUCCGCCACACUGGAACUGAGACACGGUCCAGACUCCUACGGGAGGCAGCAGUGGGGAAUUUUGGACAAUGGGGGCAACCCUGAUCCAGCCAUGCCGCGUGAGUGAAGAAGGCCUUCGUGUUGUAAAGCUCUUUCGGCCGGGAAAAAAUCGCACGGGUUAAUACCCUGUGUGGAUGAUGGUACCGGAAUAAGAAGCACCGGCUAACUACGUGCCAGCCGCCGCAGUAA
rnacentral:rRNA from 1 species